rnacentral:rRNA from 1 species
AACGCUAGCUACAGGCUUAACACAUGCAAGUCGAGGGGCAGCAUGAACUUAGCUUGCUAAGUUUGAUGGCGACCGGCGCACGGGUGAGUAACACGUAUCCAACCUUCCGUUUACUCAGGGAUAGCCUUUCGAAAGAAAGAUUAAUACCUGAUAGUAUGGUGAGAUUGCAUGAUGGCACCAUUAAAGAUUUAUUGGUAAACGAUGGGGAUGCGUUCCAUUAGGUAGUAGGCGGGGUAACGGCCCACCUAGCCUACGAUGGAUAGGGGUUCUGAGAGGAAGGUCCCCCACAUUGGAACUGAGACACGGUCCAAACUCCUACGGGAGGCAGCAGUGAGGAAUAUUGGUCAAUGGACGAGAGUCUGAACCAGCCAAGUAGCGUGAAGGAUGAAGGUCCUACGGAUUGUAAACUUCUUUUAUAAGGGAAUAAAACCUCCCACGUGUGGGAGCUUGUAUGUACCUUAUGAAUAAGCAUCGGCUAACUCCGUGCCAGCAGCCGCGGUAAUACGGAGGAUGCGAGCGUUAUCCGGAUUUAUUGGGUUUAAAGGGAGCGCAGACGGGUCGUUAAGUCAGCUGUGAAAGUUUGGGGCUCAACCUUAAAAUUGCAGUUGAUACUGGCGUCCUUGAGUGCGGUUGAGGUGUGCGGAAUUCGUGGUGUAGCGGUGAAAUGCUUAGAUAUCACGAAGAACUCCGAUUG